rnacentral:rRNA from 1 species
CAGCAGCCGCGGGAAAACGGAGGGUGCAAGCGUUAUCCGGAUUUAUUGGGUUUAAAGGGUCCGUAGGCGGAUCUGUAAGUCAGUGGUGAAAUCUCACAGCUUAACUGUGAAACUGCCAUUGAUACUGCAGGUCUUGAGUAAAUUUGAAGUGGCUGGAAUAAGUAGUGUAGCGGUGAAAUGCAUAGAUAUUACUUAGAACACCAAUUGCGAAGGCAGGUCACUAAGAUUUAACUGACGCUGAUGGACGAAAGCGUGGGGAGCGAACAGGAUUAGAUACCCCCGUAGUCCCUGUCUCUUAUAA